ACUUAGCAGCUAGCCUACUAAUUAAACUUCAACAAAUUAAUAUCAAUAACCCCUAAUAUUUAUAAUAAUACAUACUAAAUCAUUUUUCCACCCUAGUACAGGAGAUAGAAAAGGAACAUUUUUAAAGCUAUAGAAAAAGUACCGCAAGGGAAAGCUGAAAAAGAAAUGAAAAAAUUCAGUAAAGUAAUAAAAAGCAGAGAUUAUUCCUCGUACCUUUUGCAUCAUGAAUUAGCAAGUCCAUGUUAAGCAAAAAGCGCUCUAGUUUAACUUCCCGAAAUUAAGUGAGCUACUCCAAGACAGUCUUAAAUAGGGCAAACACAUCUCUGUGGCAAAAGAGUGUGAAGAGCUUCGAGUAGAGGUGAUAAACCUACCGAACUUAAUUAUAGCUGGUUGCUUAAAAAACGAAUAGAAGUUCGGCCUUUAUUUUUCUUUAAUUAUUCUUGGUGUAACCUAAAUAAUAAGCCAAAGAAAAAUAAAGAGUUAUUCAAAGGAGGUACAGCUCCUAUGAAAUAAGAAACAACUUUUUAGGGAGGAUAAAGAUCACAAUUAAUUAAGGUAAAUGUAUUAGUGGGCCUAAAAGCAGCCAUCUAAUAAAAUAGCGUUAAAGCUUAAACAUAUUCCUACCAAUAAUAACGAAUAUUUCAUUCUAUUCCCCCCCCGUUUAUUAAGCUAUUCUAUUUUUCAUAGAAGAAAUUAUGCUAAUAUGAGUAAUAAGAGAUUAACUCUCCAAGCACAAGUGUACUUCGGAACGGAAAGAUCCACCGAAAAUUAAUCGAACCCAACAAAAGAGGGUAUUGAAACAAAAAUAGACAACUAGAAAAUAUUUCAAAAUACGACCGUUAACCCUACACUGGUAUGCAUUUAUGGAAAGACUAAAAGAAAAAGAAGGAACUCGGCAAAAAUUUUUUAAGCCUCGCCUGUUUACCAAAAACAUCGCCUCUUGAUUUAUAAAAUAUAAGAGGUCCCGCCUGCCCUGUGACUUAAUGUUUAACGGCCGCGGUAUUUUGACCGUGCAAAGGUAGCGCAAUCAAUUGUCUUUUAAAUGAAGGCCCGUAUGAAUGGCAUAACGAGGGCUUAACUGUCUCCUUUUUUCAGUCAAUGAAAUUGAUCUUCCCGUGCAGAAGCGGGAAUGCUGACAUAAGACGAGAAGACCCUAUGGAGCUUAUAAACGCAAGAGCAGACCAUGUCACUUACUCUUAAUAUAUAAGAUUUUAAACCCACUGAUUCCUGCUCUAAUGUUUUUGGUUGGGGCGACCACGGGAUAAAACAAAACUCCCACGCAGAAUGAAAAUACAGUAUUUUUCAAUUUAAGGUCAACAGUCCUAAAAAACAGAAUCUCUGACUUUUAAUGAUCCGGCUUAAGCCGAUUAACGAACCGAGUUACCCUAGGGAUAACAGCGCAAUCCUCUUUUAGAGUCCUUAUCGACAAGAGGGUUUACGACCUCGAUGUUGGACCAGGACAUCCUAAUGGUGCAGCCGCUAUUAAGGGUUCGUUUGUUCAACGAUUAAAGUCCUACGUGAUCUGAGUUCAGACCGGAGUAAUCCAGGUCAGUUUCUAUCUAUGAUAUGAUCUUCUCUAGUACGAAAGGACCGAGGAGAGAAGGCCAAUACUUUAAGCAAGCCCUCUCCCUAUUUAAUGAAAACAACUAAAUUAAACAAAGGGACAUAGCCCUUAAAAGCCUAGAUAAUGCUAU
rnacentral:rRNA from 1 species